UAUUCCCCACUGCUGCCUCCCGUAGGAGUCUGGGCCGUGUCUCAGUCCCAAUGUGGCCGUUCAACCUCUCAGUCCGGCUACCGAUCGUCGCCUUGGUGGGCCGUUACCCCGCCAACAAGCUAAUCGGACGCGAGUCCAUCUCUAAGCGAUAAAUCUUUGAUAUCAAAGUCAUGCGGCUUCAAUAUGUUAUGCGGUAUUAGCGAUCUUUUCAGAACGUUAUUCCCCUCUUAGAGGCAGGUUACUCACGCGUUACUCACCCGUCCGCCACUAAGUUAAAAAUCCGUCAUCCCGAAGGAAUCCGUCAAAAUAACUCCGUUCGACUUGCAUGUGUUAGGCACGCCGCCAGCGUUCAUCCUGAGCCA
rnacentral:rRNA from 1 species